GACGAACCGUCCAAACGUUAUUCGGAAUCACUGGGCUUAAAGGGUGCGUAGGCGGCGCGGAAAGUUGGGUGUGAAAUCCCUCGGCUCAACCGAGGAACUGCGCCCAAAACUACCGUGCUCGAGGAAGAUAGAGGUGAGCGGAACUUAGGGUGGAGCGGUGAAAUGCGUUGAUAUCCUAAGGAACACCGGUGGCGAAAGCGGCUCACUGGAUCUUUUCUGACGCUGAGGCACGAAAGCUAGGGUAGCGAACGGG
rnacentral:rRNA from 1 species